AAACUGAUAAAUGAAAAAUCGAUGACAAGCGACCAAAUAAGCAAGCUACGUGAAGUGACCAGUCAGCAGUCCAACAAGUUGUCUGCAGAGCCGUCUGCUCAGUGAGAGCAAACAACUGAUAGAACUUCUGAGGUAGAAGGCAACAUGAGUUUUGCCCACCUGCAUCCCCUCGAUUCCUCAUAGUCAUUGCUGAGCGAAGUCUUCACCCAGUUUAUGAUGGGGGUUUCGAUGGCCAAAAUGGGAAGUGCAACUGUGGCCAAAUGGUCAGAUGUCUCAUUAACAGACACCCCGUCCACUUUUGCCGCUACAUAUCGCUUGGUAUAAUCUUGUUAUCUCUAGCACAAUUUUGCAUGAAAUGAUUUUGAGGUAUAAGCCUAUUGAUUUGCAUAAUAUUUAUGUAUUUUUCAAGCAAAUUGGAUAUCGUUUCGAACCAAAGGACAUGAAGGCAUUUCUCGAUCGGCGUUGCAUAGUUUUCCGUUAUGAUAUGACACAUCCAUCCCGCCAAAGUGAACGCCACAUUUUAAAAAGUAAAUCAAAGGAUAAAAAAAAAUCACUCGAAACAUAACAAAAAAAUAUAUAUGUAUAGAAAAAAUUUAUGAUUUAAAUUGGAAACUUUGAAGUAAGUUAAGUUAGUCAGCCCUCGUUAAUGUUAGAUACUAUUUUCAUCAAAGUAAUGUAUCAGGGAAGCAUCCCUUUUUGUGUCAUAGUAAAGAUCGCGACAGAUAAGUGUAGCAAUAAACAUCUGAAAACUACAAACUCUUCCCUCGUAAAGGAAAAUUUAUUCCAAAAAUUACCCGGACACAGUGGUCUUGAAGCAACCAUAGCUAUGACUAAAAUGCCAACCAAAACGGCUUACAUAACUGUCUUUGUACAUAAUCAUAGAUCAAAAUUUCGUUGAAAAUAAAAUUCCAUCUGCUCCUAUGCUUAAAAUAUUAUAAAAUGUUGAUCUAGAACUUUCCAAAUCUAGUUAUAUAAUCGCGAAGGUCUAUGGUAAUAUAAUUAUAACACUUUCUUACGUUAUAAGCAUAAAAUAUUUUAACUUAGUUAUUCAAGAGAUAAUAUUACA